rnacentral:tRNA from 13 species
GGGUUCGGCAGGGAUUUGAACCCGGGACCUCUCGCACCCAAAGCGAGAAUCAUACCCCUAGACCACCGAACC